GAGUCCUGCUCGUCCCCCAGCCUGGCAGCUGCUGCGCCAGCCUGGCCGGUCGUCUUCCUCGGAGACUCAGCUCCGGCCUCACAUUCUCUGGAAGCAUGAAGUGACCGCACCGGACAAGUUUCUGAGUGGAGGUGUGCCCGCUCAGCCAAGAUGACACUCUGCGGGACCUUCCUGGAGCCUGCCUGGGGCAGCGCCCCCCCUCGCCCUCAGCUGUUCGUAUACAAUAUUAAUGCUGACCAUCGCGGCUCCACACACAACAGCCCUAAUUGUCGUCUGCAGCUUUAAGGCGGGCGCCCAUCUGCAGGGACGCUUUCAGAGGGAAACAAGAAAACUCUCACCCCCAGCUGGUCACCGGAGAAGGUGGUGCCAAUUACAGAUGCAGAAAGUUUAGACCAAAAUUACUUGAAAGAGUUUUUAUGAAGCAAAUGAACUGACACUUGGAAUGUGUGUGUGCAGAUUUGCACAAGUAAUUACACUUUAUUUGAAAUGAUCUUACUAGCUAAGCCAUCUUUGAGCCUGCCUCCCCAGCUCCCACAAAACACUUCCUAAGCGAGUGCUGCAAGUUUGCUUUUGCAAAUCUGCCCAUUUUUCUCCCCUGUGGCAUUUGAGAACCCUCCAAUCAAGCAGAGGUUGCUUCCCUGUGGAUCUUCCAAAUUUUAAAAUUACAAGUAUCCUCCUCAC
ensembl:lncRNA